UUGAACGCUGGCGGCAGGCCUAACACAUGCAAGUCGAACGGUAACAGGAAGCAGCUUGCUGCUUCGCUGACGAGUGGCGGACGGGUGAGUAAUGUCUGGGAAACUGCCUGAUGGAGGGGGAUAACUACUGGAAACGGUAGCUAAUACCGCAUAACGUCGCAAGACCAAAGAGGGGGACCUUCGGGCCUCUUGCCAUCGGAUGUGCCCAGAUGGGAUUAGCUAGUAGGUGGGGUAACGGCUCACCUAGGCGACGAUCCCUAGCUGGUCUGAGAGGAUGACCAGCCACACUGGAACUGAGACACGGUCCAGACUCCUACGGGAGGCAGCAGUGGGGAAUAUUGCACAAUGGGCGCAAGCCUGAUGCAGCCAUGCCGCGUGUAUGAAGAAGGCCUUCGGGUUGUAAAGUACUUUCAGCGGGGAGGAAGGGAGUAAAGUUAAUACCUUUGCUCAUUGACGUUACCCGCAGAAGAAGCACCGGCUAACUCCGUGCCAGCAGCCGCGGUAAUACGGAGGGUGCAAGCGUUAAUCGGAAUUACUGGGCGUAAAGCGCACGCAGGCGGUUUGUUAAGUCAGAUGUGAAAUCCCCGGGCUCAACCUGGGAACUGCAUCUGAUACUGGCAAGCUUGAGUCUCGUAGAGGGGGGUAGAAUUCCAGGUGUAGCGGUGAAAUGCGUAGAGAUCUGGAGGAAUACCGGUGGCGAAGGCGGCCCCCUGGACGAAGACUGACGCUCAGGUGCGAAAGCGUGGGGAGCAAACAGGAUUAGAUACCCUGGUAGUCCACGCCGUAAACGAUGUCGACUUGGAGGUUGUGCCCUUGAGGCGUGGCUUCCGGAGCUAACGCGUUAAGUCGACCGCCUGGGGAGUACGGCCGCAAGGUUAAAACUCAAAUGAAUUGACGGGGGCCCGCACAAGCGGUGGAGCAUGUGGUUUAAUUCGAUGCAACGCGAAGAACCUUACCUGGUCUUGACAUCCACGGAAGUUUUCAGAGAUGAGAAUGUGCCUUCGGGAACCGUGAGACAGGUGCUGCAUGGCUGUCGUCAGCUCGUGUUGUGAAAUGUUGGGUUAAGUCCCGCAACGAGCGCAACCCUUAUCCUUUGUUGCCAGCGGUCCGGCCGGGAACUCAAAGGAGACUGCCAGUGAUAAACUGGAGGAAGGUGGGGAUGACGUCAAAUCAUCAUGCCCCUUAUGACCAGGGCUACACACGUGCUACAAUGGCGCAUACAAAGAGAAGCGACCUCGCGAGAGCAAGCGGACCUCAUAAAGUGCGUCGUAGUCCGGAUUGGAGUCUGCAACUCGACUCCAUGAAGUCGGAAUCGCUAGUAAUCGUGGAUCAGAAUGCCACGGUGAAUACGUUCCCGGGCCUUGUACACACCGCCCGUCACACCAUGGGAGUGGGUUGCAAAAGAAGUAGGUAGCUUAACCUUCGGGAGGGCGCUUGCCACUUUGUGAUUCAUGACUGGGGUG
rnacentral:rRNA from 1 species